AGCUCUUGUGUGCAGCUAAGAGUUUCCCGAACCGAUUAUUCCCAAUGCUCAGAAUUUAUUAAUCAAUAUACCUCUAAAGACGAGUGUCCAUUGUGGCAACUACUUUAUAGGCUUCAAUCCCAUUCCUUUCAAUGUUUGAAGAAUUUGCUGGCAUGUCAAUCCUUUAGUGAGCGGAUCUGCAAUAUUAAUUUCAGACCUGACAAAGUCUAAAAAAAUCAU
rnacentral:misc_RNA from 1 species